rnacentral:rRNA from 1 species
AGAGUUUGAUCCUGGCUCAGGAUGAACGCUGGCGGCGUGCCUAAUACAUGCAAGUCGAGCGAACGGACGAGAAGCUUGCUUCUCUGAUGUUAGCGGCGGACGGGUGAGUAACACGUGGAUAACCUACCUAUAAGACUGGGAUAACUUCGGGAAACCGUAGCUAAUACCGGAUAAUAUUUUGAACCGCAUGGUUCAAAAGUGAAAGACGGUCUUGCUGUCACUUAUAGAUGGAUCCGCGCUGCAUUAGCUAGUUGGUAAGGUAACGGCUUACCAAGGCAACAAUGCAUAGCCGACCUGAGAGGGUGAUCGGCCACACUGGAACUGAGACACGGUCCAGACUCCUACGGGAGGCAGCAGUAGGGAAUCUUCCGCAAUGGGCGAAAGCCUGACGGAGCAACGCCGCGUGAGUGAUGAAGGUCUUCGGAUCGUAAAACUCUGUUAUUAGGGAAGAACAUAUGUGUAAGUAACUGUGCACAUCUUGACGGUACCUAAUCAGAAAGCCACGGCUAACUACGUGCCAGCAGCCGCGGUAAUACGUAGGUGGCAAGCGUUAUCCGGAAUUAUUGGGCGUAAAGCGCGCGUAGGCGGUUUUUUAAGUCUGAUGUGAAAGCCCACGGCUCAACCGUGGAGGGUCAUUGGAAACUGGAAAACUUGAGUGCAGAAGAGGAAAGUGGAAUUCCAUGUGUAGCGGUGAAAUGCGCAGAGAUAUGGAGGAACACCAGUGGCGAAGGCGACUUUCUGGUCUGUAACUGACGCUGAUGUGCGAAAGCGUGGGGAUCAAACAGGAUUAGAUACCCUGGUAGUCCACGCCGUAAACGAUGAGUGCUAAGUGUUAGGGGGUUUCCGCCCCUUAGUGCUGCAGCUAACGCAUUAAGCACUCCGCCUGGGGAGUACGACCGCAAGGUUGAAACUCAAAGGAAUUGACGGGGACCCGCACAAGCGGUGGAGCAUGUGGUUUAAUUCGAAGCAACGCGAAGAACCUUACCAAAUCUUGACAUCCUUUGACAACUCUAGAGAUAGAGCCUUCCCCUUCGGGGGACAAAGUGACAGGUGGUGCAUGGUUGUCGUCAGCUCGUGUCGUGAGAUGUUGGGUUAAGUCCCGCAACGAGCGCAACCCUUAAGCUUAGUUGCCAUCAUUAAGUUGGGCACUCUAAGUUGACUGCCGGUGACAAACCGGAGGAAGGUGGGGAUGACGUCAAAUCAUCAUGCCCCUUAUGAUUUGGGCUACACACGUGCUACAAUGGACAAUACAAAGGGCAGCGAAACCGCGAGGUCAAGCAAAUCCCAUAAAGUUGUUCUCAGUUCGGAUUGUAGUCUGCAACUCGACUACAUGAAGCUGGAAUCGCUAGUAAUCGUAGAUCAGCAUGCUACGGUGAAUACGUUCCCGGGUCUUGUACACACCGCCCGUCACACCACGAGAGUUUGUAACACCCGAAGCCGGUGGAGUAACCUUUUAGGAGCUAGCCGUCGAAGGUGGGACAAAUGAUUGGGGUGAAGUCGUAACAAGGUAGCCGUAUCGGAAGGUGCGGCUGGAUCACCU